rnacentral:rRNA from 1 species
ACGCUCGACACCUACAGGAGGCAGCAGUGGGGAAUAUUGGGCAAUGGGCGAAAGCCUGACCCAGCAACGCCGCGUGAGGGAAGAAGGUUUUCGGAUUGUAAACCUCUGUCCUCAGGGACGAAGGACGUGACGGUACCUGGGGGGAGAAGAAGCCCCGGCUAACUACGUGCCUGCAGCCGCGGUAAUCUGAGCGGGCUGGCAAGGC